rnacentral:rRNA from 1 species
GACGAACGCUGGCGGCGUGCCUAAUACAUGCAAGUUGAGCGCUGAAGGUUGGUACUUGUACCAACUGGAUGAGCAGCGAACGGGUGAGUAACGCGUGGGGAAUCUGCCUUUGAGCGGGGGACAACAUUUGGAAACGAAUGCUAAUACCGCAUAAAAACUUUAAACACAAGUUUUAAGUUUGAAAGAUGCAAUUGCAUCACUCAAAGAUGAUCCCGCGUUGUAUUAGCUAGUUGGUGAGGUAAAGGCUCACCAAGGCGAUGAUACAUAGCCGACCUGAGAGGGUGAUCGGCCACAUUGGGACUGAGACACGGCCCAAACUCCUACGGGAGGCAGCAGUAGGGAAUCUUCGGCAAUGGACGAAAGUCUGACCGAGCAACGCCGCGUGAGUGAAGAAGGUUUUCGGAUCGUAAAACUCUGUUGGUAGAGAAGAGCGUUGGUGAGAGUGGAAAGCUCAUCAAGUGACGGUAACUACCCAGAAAGGAACGGCUAACUACGUG